CCUACGGGAGGCAGCAGUGGGGAAUAUUGGACAAUGGGCGAAAGCCUGAUCCAGCAAUGCCGCGUGAGUGAUGAAGGCCUUCGGGUCGUAAAGCUCUUUUACCAGGGAUGAUAAUGACAGUACCUGGAGAAUAAGCUCCGGCUAACUCCGUGCCAGCAGCCGCGGUAAUACGGAGGGAGCUAGCGUUGUUCGGAAUUACUGGGCGUAAAGAGUACGUAGGCGGUUAUUCAAGUCAGAGGUGAAAGCCCGGGGCUCAACCCCGGAACUGCCUUUGAAACUAGAUAACUAGAGUCUUGGAGAGGUUAGUGGAAUUCCGAGUGUAGAGGUGAAAUUCGUAGAUAUUCGGAAGAACACCAGUGGCGAAGGCGACUAACUGGACAAGUACUGACGCUGAGGUACGAAAGCGUGGGGAGCAAACAGGAUUAGAUACCCUGGUAGUCCACGCCGUAAACGAUGAUAACUAGUUGUUCGGUCACUUGGUGACUGAGUGACGCAGCUAACGCAUUAAGUUAUCCGCCUGGGGAGUACGGUCGCAAGAUUAAAACGUCAAAAGUGUAAGUUAGGACGGUCGUAAGAGACGUUGACGAGGCACCGAGGAGGGUUAG
rnacentral:rRNA from 1 species